rnacentral:rRNA from 1 species
GUAACAAGGUCUCCGUUGGUGAACCAGCGGAGGGAUCAUUACAGAGUGUAAAAACUCCCAAACCCUUUGUGAACAUACCACUGUUGCCUCGGCGGAGCUACCCGGUAGCUAUCCUGUAGCUACCCUGUAGCCGCCGGCGGCCCAUCAAACUCUGAUUAUGUAGAUAUCUGAGCGUACUUUUAAAUAAGUCAAAACUUUCAACAACGGAUCUCUUGGUUCUGGCAUCGAUGAAGAACGCAGCGAAAUGCGAUAAGUAAUGUGAAUUGCAGAAUUCAGUGAAUCAUCGAAUCUUUGAACGCACAUUGCGCCCAUUAGUACUCUAGUGGGCAUGCCUGUUCGAGCGUCAUUACGACCCUUAAGCCUAGCUUAGUAUUGGGAACCUACGUGCGGCGGCUACCCUGUAGCCGCCCUGUAGCUCCUUAAAGACAACGGCGGAGACGUGGAGUCCUCUGAGCUUAGUAACUUUUUCUAGCUUCUGAAGGCCCCGCGGCCCCUGCCGCAAAACCCCAACUUUUAGUGGUUGACCUCGGAUCAGGUAGGAAUACCCGCUGAACUUAAGCAUAUCAAU